UUGAGCAGUGCAGUCCAGAAGUGUAAAAGUAGAUGAGUUUAAAUACUUGGAGUCAGCUGUCCAAUGUAAUGGAGAGUAUGGUAGAGAGGAGAAGAAGAGACUGCAGGCAGGAUGGAGUUGGUGGAGAAAGGUUGCAGGAGAGAUAUGUGACUGAAGAAUAUCUGCAAGAGUGAAGGGGAAAGUUAACAAGACAGUAGUGAGACCAGCUAUGUUGUACAGUUUAGAAAUGGUGGCACU